AGGAAUGAGAUGAACAUCUUACACUGCAGGAAGUAUCAAAAAAAGAGUGAGAGAAAACGUGAAAAAAACCCAUUGGGAUUUGGGUUAUUGCUGUAGUUUACACUCCGAAGCAGCAGGGGGAAGUAAUACGCUUCUUAGGGUUGUUGCAAGCUACGUCAACAAUCGCGAAGAAAAGGCAGUCAGAGGGUGGAGGGGCGCUUCGACAUGGCAGACAGUCUGAGGUUUCUGCCCUCGUCAGAAGAUCUGAAUUCAGCGGCUCGUUUUCUGGGGUUUGAGGAGUCCCUCCGUUAGAGCUGCCCCAGUCCUCUGUGUCGCUGCAGAAAACAGCUUGGUUUGCACUGUGGGAUGAGGUAGUAGGUUGUAUAGUUUUAGGGUCAUACCCGCACUGGGAGAUAACUAUUCAACCUACUGUCUUUCUCAAAGUGCCAAGCACACGUCUCAGUUGAUCCUUGUUGUCUUCUGAAGGCCAUUCUCCUGACAUCAGUGUUUGAACGAAUCGAGAUGUUUUCAAUAAAGCUGUUGAAUCCCAGCUGCUCACACAGUGUGAGGUAGUAGAUUGUAUAGUUGUGGGGUAGUGAUUUUUGCCCUGUUUGGGAGAUAACUAUACAAUCUAUUGCCUUCCCUGAGGAGUGACAUUUCUUCAGUUUUAUUUCUCUAAACUGGUAUUAUGACAUUAUUUCUUCACAGAUCUCUGGAGACUUUUUGUCCUUAGAGCUGAAGAGCAGUGAUAGCUGAAUUUACAAUGCAUGCAAUAUUUCCACAACCUUAAAUUAGACUGAUUUUUGUAUGCUACUUUUUAGUAUUCUCCAUAUUUUUGGUACUGAGUGGAAUCUUUGUAAAUUAAAAUAAAUCUAAAUUGAUGAAAA